rnacentral:rRNA from 1 species
UACGUAGGGCGCAAGCGUUGUCCGGAAUUAUUGGGCGUAAAGAGCUCGUAGGCGGCUUGUCACGUCGGAUGUGAAAGCCCGGGGCUUAACUCCGGGUCUGCAUUCGAUACGGGCUGGCUAGAGUGUGGUAGGGGAGAUCGGAAUUCCUGGUGUAGCGGUGAAAUGCGCAGAUAUCAGGAGGAACACCGGUGGCGAAGGCGGAUCUCUGGGCCAUUACUGACCCUGAGGAGCGAAAGCGUGGGGAGCGAACAGG